GCUUUCUAAGGAAAUCAGGAUACGAGCCUUGUGUCACUGACAGGAGCUGGUGCAGGUUAAGAAGAAGAAUGAAAAUACAUUAAGCUUGCAGAGAAACCAUCCUUUCUGCAUGGAUGUGAGAGCUUUAGAGCAAGAACAGCUUAGGGGAGAUAAGCCCAGCUCUUAUUCCCAGCAAAAGGGAACUGGAGUUAAGAACAUUUUAUAAGAAUCAAUGUUAAACUAGGUAGGGGUUUACUUGGCCAUCAAGAGUGCAGUUUUCACUUGCGCUGAGAGGCCAUACUUAGGGCUCAGAUAGAAAGGAAUGUGCUUCUCUAGCACCCAAGGGAACUGAGAAAGAAAUUUAGCAGCUGCUUCAAAUCUUCUUAGUAGCAGUCAGGGUAUAUAGCUAAACUAACCAAACAAAUAAAUGGCUCUGGUUUUGGACUGGCAGUGGAAAGAAGUGAACUAGAAUGGAAACUGGAAACAAUUUAAAAGACAGCUCUGUAUGGGAACAUGAGUGAAAUGGCUUUAUGCAACACAUAUGCUUAUUUGCCUCCUUUGUACCUAAUUUGUACCUAACGAUCUGCUUGGACUAGAUAACCAGUUUAUACACCCUAAAUGGAUGACAGUGAAAUGGAUGUGGAGUGAAAGCACACACAUCCCAGGGGCAGAGUGUGAGCUCCUCACGGGACUAUCUGCGUCUUUGAUAAAGGUACCUAGGGACACAUAGGUAGCGUGAAUUUGUGCCUUAAAACAUAAGAGGACCUGCUUGUUGCAAGAAACUCUCAGGGAAACAUUCCCUACCCACCUGCGUCUAGCCAAAUCCAAGGCUAAACAGCUUUUAUAUACUGACAAAAAAAAUUGGAAAUCACCUGAAUGUUUGCCAGUUGGAAACUGGGUAAGUGCUUUUGACCUUAUCCAUGUGAUUGGGAUGCUAUGUAACCAUGAAAAGUGCUUUGGGGGCGUCCAGGAAAGAGUGAUGGAUUAACAGGUUUACAAAAAUCUCCUUCCAAUACUCACUGGAAUGAACAAAACAAGAUAUACCAAAGAAAGUAUCACCCAACAAAGAAUCUAGGGGAUUUUCACAAUCUCAUAUUUCAGACUUCAAGAAAUACAAAUCUAACUCCAAAACAAUUAAGCCUAAAUUGAUAUAAAAUUCUGGGAAUCAAUCCACAACUCCCUUUUUGGAGUGAGAAGAGGCAGAAUUUCUGAAAAUCCCACUAAAAAUAAUUCUCACUUUGUUAAGACAGGAAAUAGGGGCCUGAAUUGGCAAAAGAAAAGAU